rnacentral:rRNA from 1 species
GCUGGUUCAGUGUGGUUUUGAAGAAACUAAGUACGGUUGGAGAUGGUGAAGUGAGGGUUGGGGGGCUUGAUAGAUUCGUAUGGUGUGUUUUCAGAAGGUUUAGUUAGGUAUUUUGAUUGAGCAAUUUUGUUGAGAUUGGUUAUUUUUUAUUUUGUUUUUGUCCUUAUGUUAUUAAUUUUGAUUAAACCUAGUGGUGGGUAUUUUGGUUCUGAAAGGGUUUAUUUGGAGUUCAUUUGAACUCUUCUGCCAGUCAGGGUUUUGGUGUUUAUGGGGUAUCCGUCUAUUUUAUUAAUGUAUAUGAGUGGUGAGGAGUUAGGUGUUGUUUUUUCUUGUAAGGUUGUGGGGGCUCAGUGAUAUUGGGUUUAUGAGGUUUUUGGGGCUAGGGUCAGAUCUUAUCCAGAAGGUCUUUUUCGACUUUUGGAUGUGGAUAACCGUUUGGUGAUCCCAGGCGGUUCUUGGGUAGGCGUGUAUUUGACAUCGCAAGAUGUAAUUCACUCUUGGGCUUUAAGUUCUAUAGGUGUUAAGAUGGAUGCUAUUCCUGGUCGAUUAAACUAUAUAACUUUGUUUAGUGGUGUCAGGGGGGUUUAUUACGGCCAGUGCUCUGAACUUUGUGGAUUAGGCCACUCUUUUAUGCCUAUUUGUGUUGAAGUGGUGUAUUAGUUUUAAACCGGAAGUUUUUUGAAUUCAAAAUUGCAAAUUUUGAGGUGGAGGUUUUCUACUUUUGGGGGAGGUAGAAUAAGUGGUGUUGAGGGUUUUACCGUUGAUGUUUGUGUUAGGUGUGUUUAUAGUUUUGGGUUUUGUGUUGACGGGGAGGAAGGUUAUGAUCGGUUUAGGUUUGGUUGUAGUGGUGUUGACUGGUUUAGGUUGGUUGUCAGAUUUAAAUUCUGAUCAGGUUCGUUGAAAUGAGGUGGGAUAUGUUACCCCUUGGGGUAUGUUGCUUUUUAUCGGUAGGGAGUUAAUGUUAUUUUUAGGGGUUCUGGGUACAAGGUUGUUUUUGGAGAGGGUUGGAAGGGUGGAAUUAGGUUGGGUGAAUUUUUCAAUGUCCGGAUUUGGGUUAGAUUUCAUAGGGGUUGGAUUAUUCGGUUCGGUUAUUUUGUUAUCUUCAGGGGUUACAAUAACAUGAGCGCAUGGGGGCUUAUUGGGAGGAAGGGGUUUUACUAUAAUAAGAGGAUUGGUAUUAACGACAUUGUUGGGCGGGUUGUUUAUAUUAGUUAUGUGGGCAGAAUGGGUGGAGUUGAUUCUUAGGUGAGACUGGGGUCGUGGCGGGAGUGUGUUUUUUGUGACCACAGCCUUGCACGGUUCUCAUGUGACAAUUGGGUUGUUUGUAAUUAUUUUAGUUAUUUUUAAUUUGAGGCAAUGGGGUUUGGAGUGCAUCGAAUUUAGGUUAGUGGAGGCUAGAAUGUGGUAUUGGCAUUUUGUAGAUUUAGUAUGGUUAGGGGUGUAUUUGGUUUUGUACUGA